rnacentral:rRNA from 1 species
UACGAAGGGGGCUAGCGUUGUUCGGAAUUACUGGGCGUAAAGCGCACGUAGGCGGAUUGUUAAGUCAGGGGUGAAAUCCUGGAGCUCAACUCCAGAACUGCCUUUGAUACUGGCGAUCUCGAGUCCGGGAGAGGUGAGUGGAACUGCGAGUGUAGAGGUGAAAUUCGUAGAUAUUCGCAAGAACACCAGUGGCGAAGGCGGCUCACUGGCCCGGUACUGACGCUGAGGUGCGAAAGCGUGGGGAGCAAACAGG